AUGCCGAUACCCACCCUGGAGACUCUUCGCAUCAGGCAGCGUGGCCAUUCUCCUCGGCUGUCGCCUCGUGCUACUUCAUGCGACAUCAUCGAGCUCAGGCCUUCACCUCACAGCGACUGGGAUGUUGCACCUACUUCCCCUACAGCGAGUGCCCAGUCUCCCCGUGCUCCAUCCCCAUGCUCUGAGCCUGAGCCGGUCACCUCGGUCUUCGUCCCGGCUGUUGGCAAUGUGGUGGCGCCGCCGUGCUCUCCUCUAUUUGUUGUUUGCCUGCCACCGCUACUUGCCGCACCAAGAUCACCCUCUCCAAGGCCAAGGCCACCGACGAAGAGAAGAAAGACGUUGGCUGGGGUGGUAGGCUUCGACCUGGGCCGUCGGAGCCCUCGUCUUCGUGCCAAGAACAGGUCCAUGCCCAUUGCUAAGCUCGCUGAGAGGCUGCUCUGCCUGAGAAUGGGCAUCGUGGGCGAUGGGGAAGAGGUCACGGAGAAAGCGAUCGAUCGCUUUGUGGCAAUGUUCAAGGGCCAACUCUCUGACUUGGCGAUCGCAGGACUACGCGCUCUCUUCAAGCUGGAUUGUGACCUUGCGAUGGCGGUGGAGGACGCGCUGUUGCAGCAUGGUGGAGAGGGUGGCUCCGAGAUGCCAACUCUGACAAGCGAAGACGCCGCUGUUUAG
rnacentral:rRNA from 1 species